rnacentral:tRNA from 1 species
CGGGUAUAGCUCAAUGGUAGAGUAUCGGCUUCCCAAGCCGGUUGUGCGGGUUCGAUCCCCGUUACCC